UGAAGGGCUUAGCAGUGUUGGGUUUGGAUGUGAAAUCUCUGAACCUUAAAAGUCUAGCAGCCAAUUAUUACCAACAUGUAGGUUUUUAUUUGAAGUGGGCAAAAAAAAACAACAAACAAAUUUUCACUAUAACUGCUAACACUGUCCUGUAGUUAAAAAAUAAUUAUCAAAUAUAUCAGGUAUUGUUAAGGGUAUUGUUCAAGCCUAUUAAGUAUUUUUGUGAUAAGAUCUUAACGUAUUUUAGCCAUAUACUGUAGAUAAAGAAAAAUCAGAAUCGAAUAUUCCAGUAGAAUAUUCCAAUAUACAUGGACAUGGUGUUAGAAAAUUGGUUGAGGGGAACAAACAGUGCUGUGUUGACAGUGCAGCGUUGCCAGAGGAAUAUUAUUUUGAGCUAGACGGAACAAAAAGUAUGUUAAGGAUAAUCUAAAACAACACAUGACAGAGGGUCUCUGUGGGAUUUGCUCACUGUUCUCUCUGGUACUAUUUGUCCCGCUGUCUGGCAGGACGAGUAGUCAAGGUACUGCUGGGUAUUUUAUCGGUCUGGGGACGCAGGGCUGUGGCAUGACUCAUACCUGAAGGGCAGGAUGAGCCACAGAGCGAGAUGUGACAAGACCUUGGUGAGAUGAAAGCUGCCAAUGAAGCAAUGUUUCAUUGUCUUUUAGCCGUAGCAGUCAAUGCUAGAGCUUGAGUAAUGAGUAAGAGACAAAGUGUUAUGGCCCGGAGUCACCUGUCUAACUUGUAUAAAUAUUUUAUUAUAACAUGAUAUUUAUUAUGAAUAUUUAUAAAAUAGGACAGAGUAGUCUGUAAUUCUCGUUCGCCUUCCACUUUGUUGCGCUACUUCCGGUCGCUUAUUCUGGAGUUAUUGUUGUUUUUUUAACCAAUCACAUUUCAGCCGCUGGCAGUUUAUAAUGAAUGGCAACGAGAUUGUUUAUUUAACCAAUCACAUUUCGAAUUGGCCACACCUAGUCAUUCUGAGUGGCCUUCCGUUACGUUGGCGAUUUGAGUGAUUUGAUUGGAUGGUCAAAGAACAAGCGGUCUCGAAACUUCCUGACUUCCUACCUCAACUGUUUGUAGCGACUUGGAACCUCGGAAAUUUAAUGUCCACUGCUUUAAUGAUGAGACUCGACUUUCAGAAUCAGAAGGGAUGGACGUCAAUUCACGCAUAAUUUGACAGAUAUUCCUCCCAGGUUGUUUCUCCACUAUUUCAUGUCCUGCCUUGAGAAGCUCUCUCUCCACCUGAUGCGAUGCUGAUGCAUGACUCACCACAGCCCGCUCCUCCAGUCUUCAGACUGCCUCACUGCAAUACAUCCGGACUGACACGAGGAUGAAGUGACCUUCCAAUAUUAGCCAGCUCGCUGUCACAGCGCUAUGAUCACCAUGAUGGAGACGGCGCUGUCAUGUCUGACUCACUGCACGAGGCGUGCCAUCUAUGACGCCCGGGGCGCCGCAUGACUGAUGGUGAGCGUUUAUUUCAUUUAUUUAUUUAUUUAUAUUGCCCGGUGAUAAAUCAUAUCACUCAAAAUGAGAAUCUGAACGUGGGUGUGACAGCCGUAGCUCCAAGGACGUCAACUCCACUUCAUCUGCAGUGCACAAAUAACUCUGGGGGGGAAAAAAACAAAAAGAAAAACAGAUUGUUAGUUUGUCCCUGACAACUUUAUUUUGGGUGACACCCACAAUUUAACAAAAUGUACAAUCCUGUUUAAAGUUAUUUUGAAAAAAAAAAUUGCGGGGGUAAAAAAAAAACAAUUAUUCUGGACACUGAUAUUGUGGGGGAAAACAAACCAAAUUAAUAUAUUGAAUACAAGUUAGUCCUGUUGUGCUUUUUGGUGUAUUGUGGGACAUAAAGUGCAGAGACGUUGGACAAUAAAAAAAAAGAGUCAUCGUGACAACAUUUUGAUUGUAAUAAUGAAAACUCACCACUGCAAUAAAAAAAAAACUAUCGUAAAAAUAAAAUUAUAAUACUUCUUUAUAUCCUCUCCUGUUCUACAUGAGGGAAAACUCAUUAAACUGUGUCUGUUGUUCUGAACUCUGGGAGACCGACACUAUUAUUAGAACUAUUUCCGUUAUUUGUAGCCUAGUGGUGAGACGUUUACAGCUGCUGUGAGCCACGGUUACUGCUGUGGAUGAGAGAAAUCAAGAUGCUGUAAUGUUGUUUUCCUCGUUCAUUCAAAAGUGAACUGAAGCAAUACAUUCUUCUGAGUAGUUUUUCCUUCUUCAGUUUCACUAUAACCUCAGCUUUACACAUAAAAUCCACAUAACAUGUAGUGAAUCCUGAUCUGUAGAAACAAUUUGGUUUGUUCUGCUGUUAUAUUACUAACAUAAAAAAUACGAUAAUACUGCCUACUUUUGUAUCAAACUUUACUACCCACAUAUCCCCAUGUGCCAUUUUGACAGAUUCAAUUUUUUAAAGUGACGAACACUAACCUAAAACUAUCAGUUUUGGGAGCAAAUUAUCCUACACACUGCAUUUACACUUAGGCGUAUGUCAAAAUCAUCUGUUUGGCUAAGCCUUUUUACAAAACUUUGUAUUCAACAGCCUUUUUUUUACCAUUUAAAUUAAAUGUAAAUUUAAAUUAUUUUUUUUAUUUUACAUGGUUUUACCUGUAGGGGGCACAAACGCUCAUCAUGAUUUACAUGUCAAUGAGGCGAAUCACAUGUCGUGCGUUGAUUGGCUGUAAAAACGCUCCUGACACCAACAGUGUAAAACAAACAGAAAAACGUGGUCAAAAGUUGUUGCAGAUUUUCAGUGUUUAUUACACCACAUCUUACAAAGCACUGGAGAUCCUACACUAAAAACACCACAAUAUUCACAGGAACUACCCACGUAAUUGUUACUCUGUAGUGCAAAUUACAAAUACAAAUUCCAAAGGGGUUAAACAAGUUCCAACACAAAGUAAAUGUAGCAAACAACGCUGUGAGACUGUUUCAGGCUUUGUUAUAUUAUUUAUUAUGGACAAAAGAAAAGGCCACGAAAUGUAAUAUUAACAAAAAAAAAAACUUAACAAAACACAAAUAUA